UCAAAUGAAUUCUUUUCUUUUCCCAGUGCAUGUAAGAGUUAUAUUAUGUCUAACAGAACCAUGUACACACCUUAGUUAAAAAAUACUUGAUUGCUAAAGAAUUCGAACCACCAUUGGAGCCUGUUGCAAAAAUGGUGCUGAGAGGUUUCCGCA